rfam:Catonella morbi ATCC 51271 genomic scaffold Scfld3, whole genome shotgun sequence.
GUUCCCUUAGUUAAAUGGAUAUAACAAUAGCCUCCUAAGCUGUAGUUGUGGGUUCGAUUCCCGCAGGGAACA